GUGGCGCCGUUUUUGAGUUGUUGUGCAAUGCAACAAGAGCUAUGGCGGUCCCGAAGGUUUGGUCCCAGUCUUUUUACAAACGGCGACAGGAAGACUGUGAAGAAAUACCGCCGAACAGCGACAGCUUCGCAGGAGCUGAUGAUUCAAGCGAUAGCGAUAUUGACUGGGUGACCGGGAGCCAAAUAAAGCUGCUGGAGCAUGUGCACGUGCCA